UCUCACCAGCGGCACAGUGCAUACCCAAACCUCCCUAGGGUGACAUCAUCCCAUAUAUGGAUGCUCAGGCCCAGCCCUCCCCUUUCUCCUGGUUCUAAAUUCAUUGCCAGAUCCACAGUCUACUGCAAAUGUGCCACGUCAAGGCUCGAAAUCGCAGCACUUCGGUGCAUUUCAAGGAGGGCUGCAGAAUUUGAGGGAAUGCUGAGAACAAAGCCCGAUAUGGGAAGGGAGAUUUCUUUGCUUUUUUAAAACCCAAAGACUCAAAGAGGAACCCAACCCAAUCCUGCUCCGUCGCCCCAGUGUUCAGACUACCUGUUCAGGACAAUGCUGUUGUACAGUAGUCUGCACAUUGGUUAGACUGGGCAAGGAAACGCACCAAGACGGACUCCAGAAAACGUCAGAGAGAAGACUGGCAAGCAUGGCGCUUUUCAGAUUUUAUGCUCAGUGUUUUUCUUCACAGGUCUGGCAUGGUAGGAAAUAGGGCAUACGGGGAAAGGAAGACUUCCGAGUAGUUCAUGGAAGACAUACUGGCACGACCCAUUUAUUAUCAGGAAAUUAUCUUGGGAGCUUCUGGAAAGGCACGAACAUUUGAGUGACCUUUUAAGAUCCUGGCCCAUUGAUUCCAGUGAUAGAAAGAGGAAUUCCUUUGUUCUGUAUCUCACUGUGCAGUCCAAUCCUAUUCGGUCUGAUUUCACAGGACUAACUUCCAGGUAAGAUAAUAUACAACACCAUCUUUCAGGCCAUCACAUUCAUGUUUUAGAUGAAGGCCAUAUUUAUCUUUUAGAUUUCUUGCAUCUUAGCAACACAAUUACAUUGUAAAUAGAAGUUACAACAGCAAAUUGAAAGAAGCCAAUAGUUUUGCAAUAAAAGGGUAUAUUAUUAUUAUUAUUAUUAUUAUUAUUAUUAUUAUUAUUAUUAGAUACACAACAAGAUUAAUACACAGCAAACAAGAUCAUUAUCCUGGCUUUUGUAUUGGAUCGCAUGGCGGUCACUUUCCAAAUGACUAGGACUGUGUGAUUUAUUAUUAUUAUUAUUAUUAUUAUUAUUAUUAUUAUUAUUAUUAUUAUUACGGCCAAUUCUCUCACACCAGAAGCGACUUGCAGUUUCUCAGGUCACUCCUGACACAACAAAAAAAAAWUAUUAUUAUUAUUAUUAUUAUUAUUAUUAUUAUUAUUAUUUUACUGACACAAAAGCACAGUAUGCCACAGCAAACGAGAUCUAUAUGCUGGAUUUCGUAUCACAAAAUCACAAGUCGAACACUUCACAAGCGUAAUAAUAAUAAUAAGAAMAAUAAUAAUAAUGACACAAAAACACAGUAUGUCACAGCAAACGAGAUCUAUAUGCUGGAUUUCGUAUCACAAAAUCACAAGUCGAACACUUCCCAAGCGUAAUAAUAAUAAUAAUAAUAAUAAUAAUAAUAAUAAUAAUAAUAAUAAUAAUUCUGACACAAAAACACAGUAUGACACAGCAAAUGAAAUCUAUAUGCAAAGGCUCUGGCAUAAACCAAUACAGGUGGUCCCAGUGGUCAUUGGCACACUGGGUGCCGUGCCAAAAGAUCUCAGCCGGCAUUUGGAAACAAUAAACAUGAAUCAUGAUCUGUCAACUGCAAAAGGCCUCCUUACUUAGAUCUGCACGCAUCAUUCGGAAAUACAUCACACAGUCCUGGACACUUGGGAAGUGAUUUUGUGAUACGAAAUCCAUCAUCAUCAUCAUCAUCAUCAUCAUCAUCAUCAUCAUCAUUCUGACACAAAACCACAUGUAAAAUUAUUAUUGUUAUUAUUAUUAUUAUUAUUAUUAUUAUUGACACAAAACCACAUAUAAAAGUAUUCUUGUUGUUAAUAAUAAUAAUAAUAAUAAUAAUAAUAAUAAUAACAAUAAUAAUAAUAAUACCCUGCUUUAUCUCUUCUGCAGGAAGACUCAAAGCGGCUUAACAUGAAAGACAGUUCACUAUCUCUCAAAUUAUUGCUUUAAUGUUUGGGUUAAUUUUAUAACCCGUUUGAUUGUUUACAAACCUUUUGGGCAGAUUAGAAGCCAGAACAAAGGCGAGAGCAAAACUGAUUGUUUCAAUAGUGCAGGUCCCCGGUGGCGCAGUGGGUUAAACCCCUGUGCCGGCAGGACUGAAGACCGACAGGUUGCAGGUUCGAAUCCGGGGAGAGGCAGAUGAGCUCCCUCUAUCAACUCCAGCUCCUCAUGCGGGGACAUGAGAGAAGCCUCCCACAAGGAUGAUAAAAACAUCAAAUCAUCCAGGCGUCCCCUGGGCAAUGUCCUUGCAGACAGCCAAUUCUCUCACACCAGAAGCGACUUGCAGUUUCUCAAGUCGCUCCUGAGAUGACAAAAAAAUAAAUAAAUAGUGCAGGCAAAGAAUAAUGUCGGAUUUUCUCAACAAUAUAAAAUUCUGUUAUUCUGAAACAAAGAAAAAAAUCACUUUGGCGAACACCAACAUCAUGAGAAACAUUUCACUUCAUAGACACAAUAUGUAGGAAUGUUCUGUAGUCUAUGGAAAUUGUAAUGUACAAACACACGAAUAAUGUUAGCAAAGAGGAAUAUUUUGACUUCGACAGAGUAAGAAUUUAAUUUAUAAAUUAAACUUAAAUAAUUCUGUUUGAAGAGCAGUGAUUUGUGGGAAGUCAACAAGUACAAAGAUCAAACAAUAUUGUGUGAGUGUCUUAAUACCUUUAGUCAUGUGUGGUUGUUAAAAAAUGAGAUUUAUUACAAAUAUAGAAUGCAAAA